GCCUUUUGCGAUCCUUAAAGACGCAGUAACCUCUCCUAAAGAAGGAAGGCUGGAGACGCAUCUCCUGAUUCCCUUUGGGGUUUGGAAUGUGCUCCGGCCCAAGACCCAGAGGCUCCGUGCAGCCGAGCAAUGCGAGGAGGGCGCACUGGGGACCGUUCCAACCUCAGGCUGUGGGGACACGGAUUUUUGUCCCCUCCUCUCCCUCCAGUGAUGGCCAGAUCUGUCCUUUGGUCAAUGCUACAUUGCCUGGACUAUGUACUGACAGCGGCUGGCUAGGACAGGUUUUAAACUUUACCAGCCCCAUGAUCUCUGAUGCAACUAUUCAGCUCUGCUGUGAAACCAGCCACGUGUAAGUGAAUGCGCAGGCUGUGUUACAAUAAAAUUUAUUUACAAGACAA